UACGUAGGGGGCAAGCGUUGUCCGGAUUUAUUGGGCGUAAAGAGCGUGUAGGCGGCCAUUCAGGUCAGCUGUGAAAACUCGAGGCUCAACCUCGAGACGUCGGUUGAAACCGUUUGGCUAGAGUCCGGAAGAGGAGAGUGGAAUUCCCGGUGUAGCGGUGAAAUGCGCAGAUAUCGGGAAGAACACCCGUGGCGAAGGCGG
rnacentral:rRNA from 1 species